AAAAGCGGAGUUAUAAAAGCAUGAAUUAGUUUUAUCUCGAAAUCAAGUUAACCUAGCUAGGAUGCGACGAUACAAGCAUUAGUGGCAAAUGACACAAGCGUCGCUUGUUAUGUUACUUAGACGAUGAAAAGAGAGACUUACCAAGCGCUGCUGGGGCGGCGGGUAGCAGCACCACCUGACCGCGACUUGCUUCGCGUGAGUAUUGCAAGCCCACCGUGGCGGGCGACAUGGAAAUCACUGAUUCAAUGGGCAAUGCAUCUACAAACGCAAAAAAACAACAGAAAUGCAAUAAAUAAAUAAAGAAAUAUAGAGGGGGUGCGAGUUGUGUACAGUCACAGGCGGCGUGGGGUUGGGGGCUAACUACUAAAGUUAUAAAAAAAAAAGAGAAGAAAUUCUAGAAAGAACUCACUUGGAUAUUGCCAGAAGGUGGAGGGCGCCCUGUUGACACCAGCGGCGCUCAGAGCCAGUUCCUCGGCGGUGGCCGUGCCCGUGGUCAUCAAAUCACCGUUUCCCGUGAAAUACAGAUUGCCGCAACUGGUGGCGCCUGCAGUGAAAGUUCGUAUGAAUGCACAAACACCGGAUCAGAAUAAUAUUUUAAAUAUAAUUUUAGGUUUCAAAGAAACCAACGAGCGACAAAAAAGUUUUCAACUUAACAGCUCAGCGUUCAAUUAUUUAAUAAACUUUUUGUAUUGCA